GACACCAUAGUGUGCUUACAUAAUAAUUUGGCCUUACUUUGCAUGGCAGUGAUAUCCUUUAUAUACAUCUUUUUUUUCAAAUGAUAUCCUUUGUAUACAUCUCUACAUGCACAGAUUGUUUCAUGUGAAGUUUGUUGAUCUUCCAGGUUCGAUUUGGAAGGUUCUCUUCCAAAUUGAUCUAUGUAUUCACUAUUGAGUAAGCUGGGAGAGGCAAAACACCGUAUGUUGGAAACUAUGCUCCUGCUUUGUACAUGAGUACAAGAUCAGUUUUCUCAAACAUUAAUCGCUGUAGUAGAAGUCGACAAUACAUACGCUCACAUGGGUGAAAGCCGAAAGUGUGCAUUCUGGAAGACGAUGCCGGAAAGUGCUAGAAAAUAAAUUCCUACAAAAUUUUCACGAGAUUUACUCUUCAGUAAUCACGUAUGACAAGGAGUAUGUAAGAGAGUGUCGUUUAAGAAUGAUCCAUGUUUUAAUGUUUCUCUUAUCGCUUUUUGUUACUCUACUUCUAUAUCACUGCUCUCGAUUGAAGCUGUAUAUAUAAUUUAGAUACUUUGUAUCCAAGUGUGCUUGCAGCCAUAUAUUUUGACGAGAAUGCAACUUUGCAUAUCAGCGUUUCAAAACA